GUCUCCAAAGAGAAUGGAGAAGGGAUUGUAGUGCCCUUGGAAAGGGCUGUCAUGGGGGCUGUGCCACUGAACAUCUGGAGGAGGCUUGAUCCUCUAGUCUGCUGGUGACACCAAACAGGAGGGACUGAAGCUGGCACUCAGAUUGCCUUUAGGAACUUGGCCAGGACAGGGAGGCCUCCAAGACUGCUCCUGGGGCUGGUCCCCAACCCUGCAGGGACACACUCCAGAUUGUGUGCAGAAGCAGAGUGCCUGAGUAUCAUCAAGGAGCACUGAGCAUCAGCCUGUGACUUGUGACCAGUCCCUGCACUGUGUCUUCACUGACUGAGAGCCUCGAUUUAACAUCUUCCUUUUCCUAUCCACUGCUGAAAAGAAGCUGGAGCAUAGGUGCAUUUGAGAUGCUGGAAGGAUUGUCUUCUACAUCUGCCAGUUCUAGUUCUCUUUUCUUUCAAGUAUGCUGCACACUGCUGGGCUGAGCAGUGAGCUGUGGAGAAGUGGUGAACUCUCUGUGGAGUCAACUGCACGGUUUUCUAAGAAGAUAAGAUGAUGCUAAAGGCUUAAGCCAAAGAUUAAGUUCAUCCUACAUCUCUCACAACACAGCAUUCUCUGUCUUUCCUACCCACUUUUUCCUACACUUCUUUACACAGCUUUCUCCCUCUAAAAGCAGCUGCAGUGGCAAC